UACGGAGGGUGCAAACGUUGCUCGGAAUCAUUGGGCGUAAAGCGCACGUAGGCGGUCUGUUAAGUCGGGUGUGAAAGCCCUGGGCUCAACCCAGGAAGUGCACUCGAAACUGGCGGGCUUGAAUAUGGAAGAGGGUCGCGGAAUUCCCGGUGUAGAGGUGAAAUUCGUAGAUAUCGGGAGGAACACCAGUGGCGAAGGCGGCGACCUGGGCCAAUAUUGACGCUGAGGUGCGAAAGCGUGGGGAGCAAACAGG
rnacentral:rRNA from 1 species